UGCCAGCAGCCGCGGUAAUACGUAGGUGGCGAGCGUUGUCCGGAAUUAUUGGGCGUAAAGCGCGCGCAGGCGGUCGGGUAAGUCUGAUGUUAAAGCCCGGGGCUCAACCCCGGUUCGCAUUGGAAACUGCUCGACUUGAGUGCAGAAGAGGAAAGCGGAAUUCCACGUGUAGCGGUGAAAUGCGUAGAGAUGUGGAGGAACACCAGUGGCGAAGGCGGCUUUCUGGUCUGUAACUGACGCUGAGGCGCGAAAGCGUGGGGAGCAAACAGGAUUAGAUA
rnacentral:rRNA from 1 species